rnacentral:rRNA from 1 species
UUCUUGCUGACGAGUGGCGGACGGGUGAGUAAUGCUUGGGAAUCUGGCCUAUGGAGGGGGGAUAACGACGGGAAACUGUCGCUAAUACCGCGUAUUAUCGGAAGAUGAAAGUGCGGGACUGAGAGGCCGCAUGCCAUAGGAUGAGCCCAAGUGGGAUUAGGUAGUUGGUGGGGUAAAGGCCUACCAAGCCUGCGAUCUCUAGCGGGUCUGAGAGGAUGACCAGCCACACUGGAACUGAGACACGGUCCAGACUCCUACGGGAGGCAGCAGUGGGGAAUAUUGCGCAAUGGGGGGAACCCUGACGCAGCCAUGCCGCGUGAAUGAAGAAGGCCUUAGGGUUGUAAAGUUCUUUCGGUAUUGAGGAAGGUUGAUGUGUUAAUAGCACAUCAAAUUGACGUUAAAUACAGAAGAAGCACCGGCUAACUCCGUGCCAGCAGCCGCGGUAAUACGGAGGGUGCGAGCGUUAAUCGGAAUAACUGGGCGUAAAGGGCACGCAGGCGGUUAUUUAAGUGAGGUGUGAAAGCCCCGGGCUUAACCUGGGAAUUGCAUUUCAGACUGGGUAACUAGAGUACUUUAGGGAGGGGUAGAAUUCCACGUGUAGCGGUGAAAUGCGUAGAGAUGUGGAGGAAUACCGAAGGCGAAGGCAGCCCCUUGGGAAUGUACUGACGCUCAUGUGCGAAAGCGUGGGGAGCAAACAGGAUUAGAUACCCUGGUAGUCCACGCUGUAAACGCUGUCGAUUUGGGGGUUGGGGUU